UCUUUUAGGCCUUUUGUGCCUCUUUUAAACUUAAAUUUUUGUUAAAAGCAAUUCACUCACUUUGAAAUUGAUACCACGAGCUACGAGGUUUUGAUCCUCAAUUUAUGUUGGUACGUAGGCACAAGUCCGUAGGUCUUGUCAAACAUAAAAAUAUAAUUAAUGAAUUUUCUUCUCAUCCCCACACUCUAUUUAUUGCAAACAUCAUUUUAUACCAAAAACAC
rnacentral:lncRNA from 1 species